CAGAUUAAAGCUUAAUUUAAAGCAUUUUAUUUACAUUAAAAAGAUUACUUUAAUUAGUAUAAUUUGA
rnacentral:tRNA from 1 species